AUUGAACGCUGGCGGCAUGCCUUACACAUGCAAGUCGAACGGCAGCACGGGUGCUUGCACCUGGUGGCGAGUGGCGAACGGGUGAGUAAUAUAUCGGAACGUACCUUAUUGUGGGGGAUAACGCAGCGAAAGCUGUGCUAAUACCGCAUAAUCCCUAAGGGGGAAAGCGGGGGACCGUAAGGCCUCGCGCAAUUAGAGCGGCCGAUACCUGAUUAGCUAGUUGGUGAGGUAAAGGCUCACCAAGGCAACGAUCAGUAGCUGGUCUGAGAGGACGAUCAGCCACAGCGGGGAUGAGACACGGCCCAGACUCCUACGGGAGGCAGCAGUGGGGAAUUUUGGACAAUGGGGGCAACCCUGAUCCAGCAAUGCCGCGUGAGUGAAGAAGGCCUUCGGGUUGUAAAGCUCUUUUGUCAGGGAAGAAACAGCAGCUCUAACACAGUUUGCGAAUGACGGUACCUGAAGAAUAAGCACCGGCUAACUACGUGCCAGCAGCCGCCGUAA
rnacentral:rRNA from 1 species